CGGAGAACCAAUGAGUAGCAGCUGGAAUUUAAACUGGAAAAAACAGUUUCCUGUUAUUCCAUUUUCAUACGUUGUUUCAUCAAUUACCUCUUUCCAUCCCAAAACAGAUGGUUUUGGAGUCUGUGGACGUGCCUGAAGAUUACGGUGCUGAGUUUCUCAUCUGCUACGCUUGGGGAUCGGCUGCUUCCCUUCGUACUCUGCAAAGUUUCGGGGAUCAGUUUCAAGAAAACUACAAGAGGACGCAAAUGAUAGAAAAAGGGGUGAAUGAAACUGCACAUAAGAGACAGGAUGUGUGAGUGAUAAAGAGCAUAUUCAGCUGAGUGGUACAGAUGCUGUGCAGAUUAAACUGGGCUAUUUUCCAAGACGGUGAAAUGAAAUGUUUUCCUCUUUGAAGAGGAGUAUAAUCUUCAACUUGUUACACUGUCUUAUCAGUACCUUUCAGUUUUGUAACAGACACCCGUGGUGUGCGUGUACAACAUUGCCCGUGUACAACAUUGCCCGUGUACAACAUUAACUGAAGGGUUGACUCGCUGUUUCUGAGCACAGACCUUCCAGCAGAAUAGUUUGCUUGCUGUCCAGUCAAAACCUAGAAAUACCAAACCGCUUUCUCUGCCCUGGCUUCAGCAUGCUGAAUCUGGUGUUAUAAUCAUCCUAUUUACAGUAUGAACUGUAAUUCUAACAUGGAAACAACUAAACAGAAUAAAAUCUGAGUUCUCCUUCGUAUCACAAUAAAUCCCUUUAUUUUCCCAAGGUCAAACCAGCAGAGCUGAAAUGAAUGUGAAUAUGAACAUAAAGGCAGAAAAGGUCCUUUAUAUUUUAAAGGAAGUGACCAUUUGGAUUCCUAAAUUUGGGCGACUUGCUGUGGAGUCGAAGCACGACCAGAGCACUGACCUCUCUGCUGCUGCAGAACAAGGGGAAGAUUCACCACAUGUUCGGUCACCCUCGUUGGUGACAAGCCUGGCCCCUAAACUAGCUUCUAAUGAUCGAGGUUUACCACGGUACUGCGUGCUUAAUCGUAGUACAAAGCUGAAGCAGAAACACAGGGAGCGCAGGCCCCUCCCAGCAGCCCAAACCCAGGACACCGAGUGUCUCUAAGCCCCCUGUUCCAUAUACAUAAACUGGGUGAAGAAAUGGCUUCACAGCAGAAGAGCACUUUGAAGCACACUGUGGAAAAGACAGUGAGGAUGUGGUUGGGCGCCCUCUGCAGGCCAAGAAUGCAUCAUGUCCAUAGCAAUUCCUAACA